CUGAGCAUCUGGAAGAGCAUGGCUUGAUCAAAUACAGUCAACACGGCUUUGUGAGGGGGGGAAAUAGAGCAAUCAACAGAAGGCGCUAUUUGGAUUUUUAACAAGUGAGGAAUUCCUGGAGAGGACAAUCAUCCGCCCACUUCCAUAUUACCCUCAAAGAAUCCAUCCACAAGAGUUCUCUGGAAUUUAUACAAGAGCAAUACAGAGGAGGACUUCAAUCCCCCAGGAAGAUUGUUGAUUUUGACAGACUGCAGGUGCACCUCAGCUAAGCUCCAGGCAUGCUUUCAAAUUCCCAUGAAGCAUGACCAGACCAGGCCAGGCUAGGCCAUGGAGGAAAGCCAAGAAGAGAAUCAGGAUAGGGACAUAGUGAUGGUUUCACACUGACAGCCAAAAUCUCAGUUUGUCCUGCCCUGAGUAACCUCUGCUGAUCAUUCACUCAUUGAGCACUCAUGUGCAAUUGCUAACAUGUGCAGCAGCCUUAAAUCAAUAAAAAUUCUUGUAGCAGCUGCCAUAUCAAUUGACGUAAAUUUCUACAAGUUGACUAAACUAUGAGAAUGAGCUGCACUAUGGCUCAGUGGCUAGCAUUGCUGCCUCACAGCACUAGGAACCCAAGUUUGCUUCCUCCCUUGGGUGGUUGUCUAUGUGGAGUUUGCACAUUCUCCCUGUGUCUGCGUGGGUUUCCUCUAGGUGCUCUGGUUUCCUCCCACAAUCCAAAGAUGUGCAGGCUAGAUGGUUUGGCCAUGCUAAAUUGCCCAUAGGGUCCAGGGAUGUACAGAUUAGGUGGGUUAUUGGGGAUGGGUCUGGAUGGGAUGCUCUGAGGGUUGACAUGGGCUUGUUGGACCAAAAGGCCUGUUUUGGCACCAUAGGAUUCUAUGGUCUGCAAACAUUUGUAGAAUUGAAACAAUAGACAUUUAAAAGCAACCAGUUAAUGGCCUGUGAACAGUUGAUGAUCCUGUAAGUGGUUGGCAAAUGGAGGAGAUGUUCUUUACUGCUGCAUGUUUAAAUGUGUAAUGUCAAGAGAAGGUGAUGAUUAGAGCUCUGAGCUGCAAUUUGACACCAGAGACACCAGAUCAGUGUCUUUUCCUUCUCUCAUAGGAUUUAUUUUGAACAUUUGAUAUCCAGUUCUCAAUCACAUUUAAACUGAGCAAAGUACAUUGACAGUACAUUAAAUGGCUGCCACAAUCAUCUGUUCUUACUGAGUCCACAUUAAUGUGUCCAACAUUCAGAAAAUAUAUGGUUAACACACAUUUUGGAUAUAGCACACUUCUGGCGCUGUGCAAUUCUGUGUUCAGACAAAGCAAAACUAACCUUUAAACUUUAAACCUGCAGGAGAAGCACACUGCAGCAGACAUCAACAUACAUUCAAAUAUCUCUGUUGGGCAAAGGAACAAUUAUUGCCUCGCUGGAAUCUAUUUUGUAGUUACUGGUUUCCAAUUAGUCACAGCAGUUAAAUGCUUAUGUGUAGGAGACAAUGGCUUAAUUAGCAACAAGCAAAUGUUAAUUAAGAAUUCUGAAUUUUGGAUGAUCAGUCUCUUCUGAGCUUGCUGGUUUUUCAUAGAUGGGACUUGAGGAACAAUGGAAUCUGUCUUCUAUCUUUCCCAGCACUGUUGUCGACAUGGUCCUCAAUUGGGUUCGGCCCAUCUCCCACACUUCCGCCCUCACCCCUCUCUUCCCUCCCACAACAGCGAUAAGGUUCACCUUGUCCUUAUCUACCAUCCCACCAGCAUCCACAUCCUGAUGAUCAUCAGAUGCCAUUUCUGCCACCUCCAGCGAGAUGCCACCACCAGACACAUAUUCCCUUCCCCUCCCUUGUCCGCCUUCAGUCGGGACAGUUCCCUCUGGGACGCCCUGGUCCACACUUCCUUCACCCCCAACUCUCCCAUAUCCUAGCCCCCUACCCCACACACUAGGCCUUGUUAACACAUAACCUGCCAAUACACACUACCUAUUGUUACUUACUAACAGUCUCCAUUAACAACUAUUCACCAUCCCAGCCAAAUCUUUACUAACUCCUUUGUCUGUCCAGCUGCUCUUCUCUCUCUUUGAAUUCUAUCCUAUCAUUUUCGCCCUACCCCCUCCUCCUCAGUAUUUUCUGCAUAUAAACCAAUGCUUUCUCAGCCACCAUCAGUUCUGAGAAAGUGUCACUGGACUUGAAUCGUUGACCCUGAUUUUUUUCUUCACAGAUGCUGCCAGACCUGCUGAGCUUUUCCAGUAACUUCUGUUGUUGAGUCUGUGUGCUGAUUUAGGACAAAGAACAAAGAAAAUUACAAGUCCCGAACAGGCCCUUCAGCCCUCCAUGCCAUAUAUAUUUGUCAAGAUGCCCGUUAAAAGCCACUAUAGUAUCUGUUUCCACUACCUCCCCUGGCAAGGAGUUCCAAGCACCCACCACAAAAAACUUGUCUCGUACAUCACUUUUAAACCUUGCUCCUCACACCCUAAACCCAUGGCUCCUGAUUAUUGACUCGUUCACCCUGUGUAAAAACUUCUGACUGUCCAGUCUGUCCAUGCCCUUCACAAUCUUGUAAACAUCUAUCAGGACACCCCCUCAACCAUUCCAGUGAAAGCAACACAAGUUUCUCCAACCUCUCCUCAUAGUUAAAUCCCACCAUACCAGGCAACAUCCUGGUAAAUCUUUUCUGUACCCUCUCCAAAGCCAGCACAUCCUUCUGGUAGCGUUGGACCAGAAUUGAACACAAUAUUCCAAAUGCGACCUAACUAGGGUUGGUUCAAGUUGCAACAUUACCUGCAACUUUUUAAACCCAAUGCCCCGAUCGAUGAAGACAAGCAUGACAUAUGCCUUGA